rnacentral:misc_RNA from 1 species
ACGUUAGCGAGGUGGCUCAUCGGGUAGUGUGCCGUAGGAAUCUUCGUAAGUAGCAACAUCGUUUUUUUUCUCCUUUGCAUUCGGAUGGACGGAGUCCGUGUAAGCAGGUAUCGUUAGGAGGAAUUUAAAUUUGUGCAUAUUGAGAAAGUGGAUCUCUCGAUAUUACGUGUAUUAAUAUCAAUUGACGAUUUAAAACAAACAAAAAUAAGAAGGAAGACUUGAAGAAAUGUGGAAAAUGGAUUCCCGAGAAGGGGCUAUAGUUAGUCGCUUUCCACGACCGAAUCUACGUGGGAUGACAAGAGAUAGAAUCACGGCAGGCUCGAAGCGGAAUGUCCGUGGGUUCGGGAGGGCGGGCUCCCAUUAAACGUACAACCGGAACCACGACAUCGACCAUUAAUAAUUCGACCAAAAAUAAGUCGAAGCUCGAGCCAAGGCCGCCGCCGUCUGGAGUUGGAAAAAAAAGAACGGACGCGGUGUCGUUGCUUUUCAGCGCGAAAAGGCCGCCUGGGAGAAAAGUCGAACGAACACCGACUAAAACAACGACAACUCCAACGACAACGACGAGGACGACGACGAAGACUCCUCAAAAGUCGCCGAGGACGAAAUCGGUUGAACUGUUAAAAGGACAGCAAAGCCAGCAGCAGCAGCAGCAACAACAGCAGCAGCAGCAGCAGCAAUCGACGCAGGGCACACAACAACAACAACCACAACAGCAACAGGUCCCCCUGCGUCAGGCCCCGAGCGCCGCCUCGCUCGAAACAAAAACUGAGAAUUUAUCGACAGAAAACUGGAGUUCGAUCGGUAAAGAAGUUCCCAAGAGCAACGCCAAGAAUCAGCAACAGCAUCACAAGGGACCCGCUAAGGGGUCCAGGAUGCAGGAGCUGGAACGGGAAAUCGAGAUCUUACGAAAGGAUCGUGCCCGGCUUGAGGCUGACCUAAGGGAAGCAUCUACUGACGCUCAAUCUCUACGCGAGCUCAAAACUGAACUCGCCUCUCUCAAGGAGCAGCAUAGUCUGGAGUUAGAUCGCCUUACAGAAGAGAAUGAAGCUCUUCGCGCCCGUCUUAGGAAUGUAGCUCACUCUCCAUUAUCUGAUUCAGAGAAGCAACAGCUGCUAUUAGAUGCAUCAAGGCUUCAUAAUUCUGCACCAGCUUCGAUUGCUAUACCUCAAGAUGAUAGCUGUACGCCAAAUGCAAAUAUAUCACAAGAUAAUGCGCAAUGCACGACUCCGGAUUGGGAUAAACAUUCCUCUAGCUCUAUAUCAGAAGUUUCAGUGGCUUGUCUUCAAGACAGAAUACUACAAAUGGAAGAAACGCAUUAUUCUACUAAUGAAGAGCUACAGGCAACUAUUCAAGAAUUGAGCGAUUUACAAGCUCAACUGACAGAAUUACAAGCUGAUAAUGAAAGAUUAACAGAAGAAAAGGGUGUUCUUUUGGAAUCAUUAUGUCGACAAACAGAAAAACUUGAAGAUUCAAGAUCUAAAGUUGAUACGUUACAAGGACUUUUAUUAAGAGAAGAAGAACCUCAAGAAUCUUCUAAAGGGUAUAACACAGAAAGAGAACAAAAAUUAGUUGACUUGUUAAAAAGUGCUCAAGAAGAACGAGAGGCUUUGCUUCAGAAGCAAGAAGAAUUAACAUCAGAAUUGAAAAAUUUAAGAACAACUGCCGAUGCGAAUGCCACUGAAGCAGAGAGAUUAAGAAAAUGUGUCAAUUUGCUUGAAUCUACUAUAGAAACAGUCAAUAUAGAACGUAAACAAUUAGAUGUAGAAUUAGCAGAAGCACGUCAAGAAGGUGCAAACAGAAGCAUAGAAAUAAGCAGAUUAGCUACCUUGCUGGAUAAUGCCAGAGCUAAGAUAGAAGAAUUAGAGCAAUCAAGACAAGUAGAAAAUAAAAGCGAAGCUGACGAAUUAUUAGAUGCUGCUAGACGUGAAAAGGAUACAUUAGAAACACAAGCAGCAGCUUUGCAAGAACAACUAGCACGUUCACAUUGUGAUCAUGAUCGUCUUAGGGAUCAAUAUUCUCAACUUCAAGAAGAAUACAAGGUUGCUCGAAAUAAUGCUAAAUCGGCUAUUGACGACUUGGAAUAUAGAUUAAAUCAAUUGAAAGACGAGCGACUUUCUGUCAGUACAGAAUUACAACUAGUAAGAGAUUCUUUAGCAGAAUUACAAACACAAUGUCAACGACAUCUAGAAGAUAAAAGAGAAUUGAAGGCUGCUCUUAGCGAAGCACAAAGGAGAGAACGCGAGGCACAAACUCAUCAGUACGAGUUGGAACGUGCUUUGGCUGAGGAACGUAAAUUGAGACAAGAAGAAAGUGCCGAGUGGGAACAAUUCCAGACGGAUUUACUUAUGACUGUUAGAGUUGCGAAUGACUUCAAAACUGAGGCCCAAAGCGAAUUAGAACGUGUGGUUCUGGAAAACAAAACGCAAAGAGAUAAACUAAGAUCAUUAGAGGCUCAACUAGAUAAACUCAAUAAAGGCAAUACCACAGUGUCCAACAAUAAAAUAUUUGAUACUACUAGCAGAAGUAAACGAAAACCGACUAGCAUAAUAUUGAAACGUGGACGUACCAUUACAAAACGUCCUUAUGAAAUAAGAAGACACAUACCACCUACUAAUUUUGUUCAAAAAAUAAUCAAAGAAAAUUCAUACAAGCUAACAAAUAAAUAUAUCGAGCUUACUCCUAUCGAUACAACAAAAGAAGAAAAUAUUACAAAGUUAUCUAAAGAUGAAACAGAUCUAGGCAGUCCAUGCUCUGUCAAAGAAGUUAUUAAAGUAGACGAAAAAUUAAUGUCUGGUAAAGAGAUCGAAUUUUGUCCAGCUUCUCCCAUAAAAACAAGAAGCCCUGAUAUGAAUACGGGACUAAGUAUAUUAGAAAAUAAGAUUGUAGAUUCGUCGAAAGAAAAUGUCAAUGAAGAAUUAUCUGAAAAAUUAUCUACUAAAAAACCUUUAAAUAUCCAGGAGAGAGAACUAUAUUCGGGGAUAAAUAAUAGUACGAAUAUGGAUAUAGAAAAGACUUUAAAAAAUGAGAAUAAUCAUCAUAAACUUUAUAUUCCUAAAUCACCUAGCAUAGAUCAAAAUAUAACUUCUAAAAGCUCUCUAUUAAAAAGUAUUAAAGGAAUUCAAACUGCUGAUCAAAAUUCAUAUGGCAUUAAUAUUUCUAACAGUAGAUUUUUCGUACCUAAAAAUUAUGUAUUUUCCGACAUCGACACUUCAAUGGAUGAUCUCAAAUUUGAAGUAGAUCCUGAAAUGAGCAAGUUAUUGCAAAAAAGUACAAAUAAAAUUCUUAACGAAACUGAUUCAAAUUCAAUCUCAGAAAUUCCUAGUGAAAAAUCUUCUAUGGAAAAUCUACCGAUAUUCGAAGAAACUGUGACCAAAGAUAUUCUUACGAUGGGUAAUAAAGAGAACUCCUCGUACGAACUUUCGGAAGAAAAUAAUUCAAUGGAAGAAAUUAACUUGACCGAUAAAAAGAAACGAUUAUUUUUAAAAAAAUAUGAAUCCAAACCGAGUAGCGAAAUAGUUGAUUCACUUUUGGAUAAUAUACAGUAUAGACCAAAAUUGAAUAUGAACAAUUAUUUAAGGCAUAAAAAUUUUUCUACCUCAUUAGAUAAUCUUGAUUUCUAUAGAAUAACUCAUAACAAUGAUAAUAUUAAGACUCAUAGAAGUUACGAAUCUCUUCCAAUAAUUGAUUAUGAAGUGAAGAAUAAAACAGAAAAAGAAAAAAAUUCCAAUAAAAAUCAAUCUAAUUUGGAUGAGGAAAAACAAAAUAAUAUUUCUACUAAUAAUAGUGAAAAAUCUCCUGUAAAAUGUAAUUAUCGUUCAACGUAUGAUACGAAUACACAUGCAUCCAUUUACAGACAAAGGAAUAUUGAAACAAAAUUAAAAAUAACUACGAUUCCCAUCAAGAAUAAAGAUAACAAUUACAGUUCAAAUAAUAUUUCUACCAAAUUUCAUUUAGAAAAAGAUCAAUUCAAAGAUGUAGAUUCUUUGAAUUGUCGAAGAAAGAGUACAGGAAAAUCAAUUUAUGAAUUUAACAAAUCGAAAUCUUUUCAAUAUCUAAAACGUAACUAUUUAGAAAAGCGUAAUUCUUAUCCAUCUAUGUCUUCUAUGAAGCAUAUUCCUAUAUCUCCUCCUAUUUGCAAUACGAUGCAUUCUAUAACACCAUCAUACACAUCAAGUAGAACUUCAGCCUAUACUUUAAGAGACAGCACUCAUCAAACAUCCGAACAAUAUUCUCCUACUAGAAUGUUAAAAAAAUCAUUUAAAGAUAUAUCCAAAUACAAUGAUUUACAAAGUGACAGAUAUCUAGCUCUAUGCGAAGCUAAUCGUCUGAAACGUUUAAAAUUUUUAAGAAUGAAUUUCCAAGCGGAUUAUGAUAUAGAAGAUAAAAAGAUACAAGUCAGUAACAGUCAUGUUAUUAGAAAAACAUCAGCGAACGGUGGCAAUUAUAGUGCGGGUAUUGUAUCAGAUGUAUCGCAAAAUGAUACUAAUUUUUCCUUGCUAAGCAAGGAUCGAGCGAUAGGUCGCACAUCAUCCUUGAGAGACAAAUUUGAGACUAUCAUAGAAGAUGUGGAACUGAGAGCGGGUCGACGUUCACUAAUAGGAAAAACUUGCGACCAUCGGGUCGAUUUUUCAGCAAAUCAAAAAGUUGUACAACAGCCACCUCCAAGGCCAGCAAGUACACCAACGGAAACUACACAACAGUGUGUUUUAACAAGUGUAAGAAAGGCUAAUAUUUCGCGCCAAGAUUCUAGAUUAUCUGUUAAAUGUCUAAUAGAAAGUAUUGAAAAUGCCACAAAACAGGCUAAAGCUGGACCUGGAAGCCGCAGCAGUUCAACGUCAUCUUUGAAUUCUAUUGGAACAAAUGAUAUAAUGACACUGAAAUCUCCUUUAAGAGAUCAGCAACAAAUAAACAAUUUAAUUUGUACAUCUAAUUCAUCAAAUAAUAAUAAAACACAGACGGCUAUAAAUAGGAAACCAUUAUCAGAAACAAAAUCAGCAGUACCUGUGGUUUUAAGUCCUGGUGAACUUUUGGAUUCUGCUGCACUAAAUGUCAAGGCUAUUGAUUUUGUUCGUCGAAAUAGUGUGGCAGAUUUAUCAGAACGUAAAGAUCCUCUUUGCGGUUUAAUCAAGAAUGGAGGUUCAAAGAGAAAUGCAUUACUUAAGUGGUGUCAAAACAAAACAUUAGGCUAUCGAAAUAUCGAUAUAACUAAUUUUAGCAGUUCUUGGAAUGAUGGCUUAGCUCUUUGUGCUAUUCUUCAUUCGUAUCUUCCAUAUAAAGUACCGUAUGAUACUUUAACGCCUACCGAAAAAAGAAAAAAUUUCUCCAUCGCAUUCUCUGCAGCUGAAAGUGUUGGCAUACCUACUACUUUGAAUAUAGGAGAAAUGUGUCAACUGGAACGACCUGAUUGGCAACAAGUCAUGACAUAUGUGACUAGUAUUUAUAAACAUUUUGAAACGUAAUUGUGGUCAUUAUCAAAGAUCAAGCUAUAUCAUCUUUUCCAUUGAAUCCUCUUACACUUAUUUGAGUGAUCAAGAACAACGGCAUCUAGUCAACUAAAUUCUGCAAGACACAAUUUUAUACGAAUUUUUGAUUAUUGCUGGAUUAGAGCACUGCCUAUACUGUAUAUAUAGCUUUAUGUGAAAGGAUCUAUUGAAGCAUACAGAGAAUUCGAUGGAAGACUACACACCAAAUGGAAUUGCUUUUAUCAUGAGACUGAAAACUUAUUUACACAUGUUGUCUUCUUGGCAGAACUAUGCUAUACGCAUUGCAACAGGCUGUAUUGCAAAUGCGAAAAUACAUGUUUACAUAGUAGAGUCUUACAUAUUUGCAAAUAAUAAAUGUCAAGUAUUUGCGUUCCUCAUACUGUAUUUUUGUACUUGGAUUAUUUUUCGAAAUACUUUUGUAAAUUUAUGAACGAUGUACAGAACUAAGCGCCUUAAUUUAAGAUAUCUAAUUUAUUGCAUUAGUCAUGUUUAGUCCACUAUGAAGCAAAGCAGCAUAUUAUUAGAAGAGAUUGUUUAUGUUCUAUUUUACUGAAUGAGAUAGGAUUAAAAAGAAAAAGAAAUGAUUAAAGGCUAAGUUCUCUGUGAUAUAGGAAGGUAGCCUCGAUACAGAGAUACAGACGUUAUCGUUAUUGUUCUUAUCAUUAGCGCUAAUAUUAAUAUCGUCCUUGUCGUCGUUGUUAUAUUAAUAUAGACAAUAUGCUGUCUGAUAUAAAACAAUAAACUUGCCUGAUAUAUGGAUAUUUAAAA